rnacentral:rRNA from 1 species
GGCGGCAGGCCUAACACAUGCAAGUCGAACGGUAACAGGAAGCAGCUUGCUGCUUCGCUGACGAGUGGCGGACGGGUGAGUAAUGUCUGGGAAACUGCCUGAUGGAGGGGGAUAACUACUGGAAACGGUAGCUAAUACCGCAUAACGUCGAAAGACCAAAGAGGGGGACCUUCGGGCCUCUUGCCAUCGGAUGUGCCCAGAUGGGAUUAGCUUGUUGGUGGGGUAAUGGCUCACCAAGGCGACGAUCCCUAGCUGGUCUGAGAGGAUGACCAGCCACACUGGAACUGAGACACGGUCCAGACUCCUACGGGAGGCAGCAGUGGGGAAUAUUGCACAAU